rnacentral:rRNA from 1 species
AUGUGUUGUUGGGUAGGGGAGCGUUCUGUAAGCCUGUGAAGGUGUACUGUGAGGUAUGCUGGAGGUAUCAGAAGUGCGAAUGCUGACAUAAGUAACGAUAAAGCGGGUGAAAAGCCCGCUCGCCGGAAGACCAAGGGUUCCUGUCCAACGUUAAUCGGGGCAGGGUGAGUCGACCCCUAAGGCGAGGCCGAAAGGCGUAGUCGAUGGGAAACAGGUUAAUAUUCCUGUACUUGGUGUUACUGCGAAGGGGGGACGGAGAAGGCUAUGUUGGCCGGGCGACGGUUGUCCCGGUUUAAGCGUGUAGGCUGGUUUUCCAGGCAAAUCCGGAAAAUCAAGGCUGAGGCGUGAUGACGAGGCACUACGGUGCUGAAGCAACAAAUGCCCUGCUUCCAGGAAAAGCCUCUAAGCAUCAGGUAACAUCAAAUCGUACCCCAAACCGACACAGGUGGUCAGGUAGAGAAUACCAAGGCGCUUGAGAGAACUCGGGUGAAGGAACUAGGCAAAAUGGUGCCGUAACUUCGGGAGAA